UUUUGGCUUUUGGCGGUUUGCCUAGCAUUUGGGCUUGGUGGGCGGCUAUUAGCUGGGUGGUUUCGGGGAUGUCUACCGUAAAGGUGCAUGAGUGGUGUUUGGUUUGUUACGGGUGGUUGGCUCUUUGCUUGCGCAACAACUUCCACCUGGCAUACCUCUUCAGUUUUUGCGUCAAUGCUUGUAUCGCAUUGAAUGCAACGUGGGUUUCUUGUGUUGCAUACCAAAUUGAUGGUAUCGUUUGAUGAAUUGAUGUCCCUUAUUCGUCUUGUGUCGCCCACGCGAUGUGAGACGAACUUUGAAGCGGUCUUUGUGAUCCACUCUUUUGAUGCACAUGCGUUGAUGGUGUGGCCCAUUAAGUGUCGCUUGGUCUCAUGGAUAUGGAACCUGGUUUGGGCAUGGGAUAAGAUCCUUGUUUGCCCUUCUUUAGCUUUUCUAAUACGAUUGACUAUCACGUAUGGCUCGUCUCAGCGUGGUAGUCUAUGUCGAAGAUGAAUGCUACCUGGUUGAUCCUGCCAGUAGUCAUAUGCU
rnacentral:misc_RNA from 1 species